AGAGGGUGCAAACGUUGCUCGGAAUUAUUGGGCGUAAAGCGCGUGUAGGCGGCUUGUUAAGUUGGUUGUGAAAACCCAUGGCUCAACCAUGGAAGGGCGUCCGAAACUGGCAAGCUAGAGUCCCGACGAGGAUGGCGGAAUUCCCAGUGUAGAGGUGAAAUUCGUAGAUAUUGGGAGGAACACCGGUGGCGAAGGUGGCCAUCUGGGAGGGCACUGACGCUGAGACGCGAAAGCGUGGGGAGCAAACAGGAUUAGAUACCCUGGUAGUCCACGCUGUAAACGAUGAGCACUAGAUGUUGCGGGUAUUGACCCCUGCAGUGUCGACGCUAACGCAUUAAGUGCUCCGCCUGGGGAGUACGGCCGCAAGGCUA
rnacentral:rRNA from 1 species